AGCCAUGCAUGUCUAAGUAUAAGCUUUUAUAUGGUGAAACUGCGAAUGGCUCAUUAAAACAGUUAUAAUUUAUUUGAUAUUCGUUUCUACAUGGAUAACCGUGCUAAUUGUAGGGCUAAUACAUGUUCGAGACCUAUUUUUAAUAGGUGGCGUUUAUUAGACCUUAAACCAUCCCGCUUCGGCGGUAUAUCGGUGAUUCAUAAUAAAUACGCGAAUCGCAUUGCUUUAUGCUGGCGAUGUAUCAUUCAAGUUUCUGACCUAUCAGCUUUGGACGGUAGGGUAUUGGCCUACCGGGGCAGCGACGGGUAACGGGGAAUUAGGGUUCGAUUCCGGAGAGG
rnacentral:rRNA from 1 species